rnacentral:snoRNA from 1 species
CUCCUCUCAGAGUCACACCUGGAGAGUUUCUAGUACUCUACCAGUCUUGACUAUAGGAGGGAGAGACAAGCAGAGGCCUACCCAUUCCAUUCCUAGCUUGGGCAGUAGCUAGCGAUUGGGAAAGCUAUCUACUACAGGU